rnacentral:rRNA from 1 species
CCAGGCGACUGUUUAUCAAAAACACAGGGCUCUGCUAAAUCGAGAGAUGAAGUAUAGGGCCUGACACCUGCCCGGUGCCGGAAGGUUAAGGGGAGACGUCAUUCCUUCGGGGAGAAGCGUUGAACUGAAGCCCCGGUAAACGGCGGCCGUAACAAUAACGGUCCUAAGGUAGCGAAAUUCCUUGUCGGGUAAGUUCCGACCUGCACGAAUGGCGUAACGAUG